CCCAUGUCGCUCCCUCCUCAACCUCCCCCCUCCUCCUCCUCCUCUCUUCCUUCUCACAAGGAGAACCUUGUCCGGCCAGAGUGGGCCCAGAGCCAAGUCCACACGACCCCCCCCCCACCUCAACCCCUCGCAAACCCCCACCACCACGACCACUGCAAUCCCAACCCAGCACCACCACAGCCACCAACCACCGUCACAGCGUACGCGCCCAGCUCCCACUGCCACCCUCCCCUCUCUUUCUUGAGCGGCAUUAUAAAAAAAAACGUGGCUUGAAACCAAAUAACAUCGCCCCGCUUUUGUUUGCGCAAUUGAGGCCAUUGUGGGUCCCGUCGAGGCACAUUUUGGGCACCGCGCCUGGGGAAGCCGCUUCGGUGUCGCGGGGCACAAACCGCUCCGGAGCGGAGCGAGCGGAGACAUCGCGGUGACGGGGUUCGAGAGUCUGGCGGGAGAGAGUACUCGGAGAGAGCUAGGAGAGUACCAAGGGGAGAGACAGACAGAUAGUUGAUAGAGAGAGAGGAAAGUUGGGGGUGGGGGGGGAGAGGGGCGGUAGCGCUCCCAGUUCGCCGCUGUUCGCGCAUUGAGGCGUCUCUUCAUCUCUCGGUCUCUCUUGAAACAAGACGUCUGGCAACGACCUCUCACCUGACGACAAUGUUCGCCGGCGGUCCGGACUAAGUGCAGAGUGGCAGCCAACGGAUGCAACGGAGGUCCGAGAGGACGUCCCCCAGCGGAGAUGGAGCGACGGGAGCAUCCAGUGCACUUGGUGGAUCGCACGGCCGUGAGAGUCGACGGCGGCGCGGCCUUUACCCAGCAGCAGUGGAUCGAUCACGGCUCAGUUUGGUGUUUUAACAUCUCGGCACAGCUGUUUUAUUUCCAGAAAAAAAGGGGAAAACCUCUUCUCAUAUUUUGGUACUGGCAAAGGAGGUCCCAUGAUGAUAUAAUAUGGGUUGUUAUUUUACUUUUUUUAUUGAGCGCCUUGCCUUUAAAAGCAGUAACGAAAAACACAUCGUCGUGAUUUUUAGAUGCCAUGGGGCAGUGCAAGUGGCGAGGAAUGAUCGCCCGUGACAGAGGGCACGUGAGGGUCACGAAAGGGCUAUGGGGAGGAGAUGGGAAGGAGUGGAGGGGCGAGGGGAGGGAAGAGGAAGAGAAUAGUGAGGCUUUGAGAGCGGAACGGAAUGAGGUUAAGUAGGGCGGCUGCUUAAUGUAGAGGGGCAGUGUUGAGUCUAUGGGCAGUGUGAGUCUAUGGGCAGUGUUGAGUCUAUGGGCAGUGUGAGUCUAUGGGCAGUGUGAGUCUAUGGGCAGUGUUGAGUCUAUGGGCAGUGUUGAG